rnacentral:rRNA from 1 species
CCCUUAGAGUUUGAUUCCUGGCUGAGGACGAACGCUGGCGGCGUGCCUAAUACAUGCAAGUCGAACGCUUUUUCUUUCACCGGAGCUUGCUCCACCGAAAGAAAAAGAGUGGCGAACGGGUGAGUAACACGUGGGUAACCUGCCCAUCAGAAGGGGAUAACACUUGGAAACAGGUGCUAAUACCGUAUAACACUAUUUUCCGCAUGGAAGAAAGUUGAAAGGCGCUUUUGCGUCACUGAUGGAUGGACCCGCGGUGCAUUAGCUAGUUGGUGAGGUAACGGCUCACCAAGGCAACGAUGCAUAGCCGACCUGAGAGGGUGAUCGGCCACACUGGGACUGAGACACGGCCCAGACUCCUACGGGAGGCAGCAGUAGGGAAUCUUCGGCAAUGGACGAAAGUCUGACCGAGCAACGCCGCGUGAGUGAAGAAGGUUUUCGGAUCGUAAAACUCUGUUGUUAGAGAAGAACAAGGAUGAGAGUAAAACGUUCAUCCCUUGACGGUGUCUAACCAGAAAGCCACGGCUAACUACGUGCCAGCAGCCGCGGUAAUACGUAGGUGGCAAGCGUUGUCCGGAUUUAUUGGGCGUAAAGCGAGCGCAGGCGGUUUCUUAAGUCUGAUGUGAAAGCCCCCGGCUCAACCGGGGAGGGUCAUUGGAAACUGGGAGACUUGAGUGCAGAAGAGGAGAGUGGAAUUCCAUGUGUAGCGGUGAAAUGCGUAGAUAUAUGGAGGAACACCAGUGGCGAAGGCGGCUCUCUGGUCUGUAACUGACGCUGAGGCUCGAAAGCGUGGGGAGCGAACAGGAUUAGAUA